rnacentral:rRNA from 1 species
AUUGAACGCUGGCGGCAGGCUUAACACAUGCAAGUCGAACGAGUGGCGGACGGGUGAGUAAUGUAUGGGGACCUGCCCGAUAGAGGGGGAUAACUACGGGAAACUGUAGCUAAUACCGCGUACCAUAGGAUGAGCCCAAGUGGGAUUAGGUAGUUGGUGAGGUAUAGGCUCACCAAGCCGACGAUCUCUAGCUGGUCUGAGAGGAUGACCAGCAACACUGGGACUGAGACACGGCCCAGACUCCUACGGGAGGCAGCAGUGGGGAAUAUUGGGCAAUGGGGGAAACCUGACGCAGCCAUGCCGCGUGAAUGAAGAAGGCCUUCGGGUUGUAAAGUUCUUUCGGUAGAGAGGCGUUAACUACAGAAGAAGCACCGGCUAACUCCGUGCCAGCCGCCGCGGUAAUAC